UGAGUGGUUAAGGCUCCCAGUAGACGACUGGGUUGAUAGGCCAGAUGUGGAAGCCCGGUAACGGGUGGAGCUGACUGGUACUAAUAGGCCGAGGGCUUGUCCUC
rnacentral:rRNA from 1 species